GACGAACGCUGGCGGCGUGCUUAACACAUGCAAGUCGAACGGAAAGGCCUGCUUUCCCUUGUGGAUUGCGGGUACUCGAGUGGCGAACGGGUGAGUAACACGUGAGUGAUCUGCCCCCAACUUGGGUAUAAGCCUGGGAAACUGGGUCUAAUUCCCGAUAGGACUGCAGGGUGGUGCCUGUGGUGGAAAACGAUUUUCUAGUGGUUGGGGAUGAGCUCGCGGCUUAUCAGCUUGUUGGUGGGGUAAUGGCCUACCAAGGCGGCGACGGGUAGCCGGCCUGGGAGGGUGGACGGCCACAUUGGGACAGGGAUACGGCCCAGACGCGUACGGGAGGCAGCAGUGGUGAAGAUUGCACAAUGGGCGGAAGCCUGAUGCAGCGACGCCGCGUGGGGGAUGACGGCCUUCGGGUUGUAAACUCCUUGCGACCGCGAGGAAGCCACCUGGUUGGAAGGGUGGUGACGGUAGUGGUAGAAGAAGCACCGGCUAACUACGUG
rnacentral:rRNA from 1 species